rnacentral:tRNA from 2 species
CGCGGGGUGGAGGAACGGCACCUCGAAAGGCUCAUAACCUUUAGGAACGGGUUCGACUCCCGUCCCCGCAA